rnacentral:rRNA from 1 species
CCUGGUUGAUUCUGCCAGUAGUCAUAUGCUUGUCUCAAAGAUUAAGCCAUGCAAGUCUAAGUAUAAGCAACUAUACGGUGAAACUGCGAAUGGCUCAUUAAAUCAGUUAUCGUUUAUUUGAUAGUACCUUACUACAUGGAUAACCGUGGUAAUUCUAGAGCUAAUACAUGCUAAAAACCCCGACUUCGGAAGGGGUGUAUUUAUUAGAUAAAAAACCAAUGCCCUUCGGGGCUCCUUGGUGAAUCAUAAUAACUUAACGAAUCGCAUGGCCUUGCGCCGGCGAUGGUUCAUUCAAAUUUCUGCCCUAUCAACUUUCGAUGGUAGGAUAGUGGCCUACCAUGGUAUCAACGGGUAACGGGGAAUUAGGGUUCUAUUCCGGAGAGGGAGCCUGAGAAACGGCUACCACAUCCAAGGAAGGCAGCAGGCGCGCAAAUUACCCAAUCCCGACUCGGGGAGGUAGUGACAAUAAAUACUGAUACAGGGCUCUUUUGGGUCUUGUAAUUGGAAUGAGUACAAUUUAAAUCCCUUAACGAGGAACAAUUGGAGGGCAAGUCUGGUGCCAGCAGCCGCGGUAAUUCCAGCUCCAAUAGCGUAUAUUAAAGUUGUUGCAGUUAAAAAGCUCGUAGUUGAACCUUGGGCCUGGCUGGCCGGUCCGCCUCACCGCGUGUACUGGUCCGGCCGGGCCUUUCCUUCUGGGGAGCCGCAUGGCCUUCACUGGCCGUGUCGGGGAACCAGGACUUUUACUUUGAAAAAAUUAGAGUGUUCAAAGCAGGCCUUUGCUCGAAUACAUUAGCAUGGAAUAAUAGAAUAGGACGUGCGAUCCUAUUUUGUUGGUUUCUAGGACCGCCGUAAUGAUUAAUAGGGAUAGUCGGGGGCAUCAGUAUUCAAUUGUCAGAGGUGAAAUUCUUGGAUUUAUUGAAGACUAACUACUGCGAAAGCAUUUGCCAAGGAUGUUUUCAUUAAUCAGUGAACGAAAGUUAGGGGAUCGAAGACGAUCAGAUACCGUCGUAGUCUUAACCAUAAACUAUGCCGACUAGGGAUCGGUGGAUGUUACUAUUAUGACUCCAUCGGCACCUUACGAGAAAUCAAAGUUUUUGGGUUCUGGGGGGAGUAUGGUCGCAAGGCUGAAACUU